rnacentral:rRNA from 1 species
GGAAUAUUGGACAAUGGGGGGAACCCUGAUCCAGCGACGCCGCGUGAGUGAAGAAGUAUUUCGGUAUGUAAAGCUCUAUCAGCAGGGAAGAAAGAAAUGACGGUACCUGACUAAGAAGCCCCGGCUAACUACGUGCCAGCAGCCGCGGUAAUACGUAGGGGGCGAGCGUUAUCCGGAUUUACUGGGUGUAAAGGGAGCGUAGACGGCUGGUCAAGUCUGAAGUGAAAGCCCGGGGCUUAACCCCGGAACGGCUUUGGAAACUGAGCAGCUAGAGUGCUGGAGAGGUAAGCGGAAUUCCUAGUGUAGCGGUGAAAUGCGUAGAUAUUAGGAGGAACACCAGUGGCGAAGGCGGCUUACUGGACAGUAACUGACGUUGAGGCUCGAAAGCGUGGGGAGCAAAC